rnacentral:rRNA from 1 species
GAUGAACGCUGGCGGCGUGCCUAAUACAUGCAAGUCGAACGCUGAAGGAGGAGCUUGCUCUUCUGGAUGAGUUGCGAACGGGUGAGUAACGCGUAGGUAACCUGCCUGGUAGCGGGGGAUAACUAUUGGAAACGAUAGCUAAUACCGCAUGACAACAGUUAUUGCAUGAUAACUGUUUAAAAGGGGCAACUGCUCCACUACCAGAUGGACCUGCGUUGUAUUAGCUAGUUGGUGAGGUAACGGCUCACCAAGGCGACGAUACAUAGCCGACCUGAGAGGGUGAUCGGCCACACUGGGACUGAGACACGGCCCAGACGCCUACGGGAGGCAGCAGUAGGGAAUCUUCGGCAAUGGACGGAAGUCUGACCGAGCAACGCCGCGUGAGUGAAGAAGGGUUUCGGAUCGUAAAGCUCGGUUGUAAGAGAAGAACGAGUGUGAGAGUGGAAAGUUCACACUGUGACGGUAUCUUACCAGAAAGGGACGGCUAACUACGUG